rnacentral:rRNA from 1 species
UGAGGAAUAUUGGGCAAUGGAGGCAACUCUGACCCAGCCAUGCCGCGUGCAGGAAGACGGCCCUACGGGUUGUAAACUGCUUUUAUACAGGAAGAACACCACCCACGUGUGGGUGACUGACGGUACUGUAAGAAUAAGGACCGGCUAACUCCGUGCCAGCAGCCGCGGUAAUACGGAGGGUCCGAGCGUUAUCCGGAAUCAUUGGGUUUAAAGGGUCCGUAGGCGGGCUAAUAAGUCAGAGGUGAAAGUUUGCAGCUCAACUGUAAAAUUGCCUUUGAUACUGUUAGUCUUGAGUUAUAGUGAAGUGGUUAGAAUAAGUGGUGUAGCGGUGAAAUGCAUAGAUAUCACUUAGAAUACCGAUUGCGAAGGCAGAUCACUAACUGUAUACUGACGCUGAGGGACGAAAGCAUGGGUAGCGAACGGG